GACAGAGGUGCCGAGCGUUAGGCGGAAUCACUGGGCUUAAAGCGUGUGUAGGCGGAUCUGUAAGUACCUUGUGAAAUCCCACGGCUCAACCGUGGAACUGCUUGGUAUACUGCGGAUCUUGAGCCACCUAGGGGCGAGCGGAACAAGUGGUGGAGCGGUGAAAUGCGUAGAUAUCACUUGGAACGCCAAUGGUGAAAACAGCUCGCUGGGGGUGUGCUGACGCUGAGGCACGAAAGCCAGGGGAGCAAACGGG
rnacentral:rRNA from 1 species